GAGUUUGAUCAUGGCUCAGAACGAACGCUGGCGGCAUGCCUAACACAUGCAAGUCGAACGAACUCUUCGGAGUUAGUGGCGCACGGGUGCGUAACGCGUGGGAAUCUGCCCUUGGGUACGGAAUAACUCAGAGAAAUUUGUGCUAAUACCGUAUAAUGACUUCGGUCCAAAGAUUUAUCGCCCAAGGAUGAGCCCGCGUAAGAUUAGCUAGUUGGUGGGUAAAGGCCUACCAAGGCUACGGUCUUUAGCUGGUCUGAGAGGAUGAUCAGCCACACUGGGACUGAGACACGGCCCAGACUCCUACGGGAGGCAGCAGUGGGGAAUAUUGGACAAUGGGCGAAAGCCUGAUCCAGCAAUGCCGCGUGAGUGAUGAAGGCCUUAGGGUUGUAAAGCUCUUUUACCCGGAUGAUAAUGACAGUACCGGGAGAAUAAGCUCCGGCUAACUCCGUGCCAGCAGCCGCGGUAAG
rnacentral:rRNA from 1 species